rnacentral:rRNA from 1 species
UACGGAGGGUGCGAGCGUUGUCCGGAAUCACUGGGCGUAAAGGGCGCGUAGGCGGCGCGGAUAGCGGCGGUGAAAGCCCGGAGCUCAACUCCGGGUCGGCCGUCGAUACUUCCGGGCUUGAGCACUGUAGAGGCAGAUGGAAUUCCGGGUGUAGCGGUGAAAUGCGUAGAGAUCGGAAAGAACACCAACGGCGAAAGCACUCAUGCUGGGCCGACACUGACACUGAGAGACGAAAGCUAGGGGAGCGAAUGGG